AACUUCUGAAUGUUGACCUCGGAUCAGGUAGGAAUACCCGCUGAACUUAAGCAUAUCAAUAAGC
rnacentral:rRNA from 1 species